ACAUUGAGCCUUGAUGUGUAGGAUAGGUGGGAGGCUUUGAAGUGUGGACGCCAGUCUGCAUGGAGCCGACCUUGAAAUACCACCCUUUAAUGUUUGAUGUUCUAACGUUGACCCGUGAUCCGGGUUGCGGACAGUGUCUGGUGGGUAGUUUGACUGGGGCGGUCUCCUCCUAAAGAGUAACGGAGGAGCACGAAGGUUGGCUAAUCCUGGUCGGACAUCAGGAGGUUAGUGCAAUG
rnacentral:rRNA from 1 species